UUUAUAUGCAAUAGCUUCAUUUCCACACACACACAAAAACUAGAAAAUAUUGGAUUAUCAUCUUUGAUUUUGUAAUUAGAGUGUUUGUGGUUGUGUUUUUUUUUAAAAUUUAUUUUGGUUUUCAUUUUGGUUUUUAACUUGUUGAGACUGCUAGUGUUUGUGUUUGUGUUUCUGUUCUUCAUCAAAAUCGAUCUGUUCUUCAUCAAAUCGCAGAUCCAAAAUCCAAAAUCGAUUUGUUCUAGUUGAUCUCUCUUGCUCUUAUCUCAGAGUCUGAGUAUGAGCUCUAUCUUGAGGGGAUCGGAGGAUUGUUUAAUUUGGAAAGGGGAAAACCAUGGAAUUUUUGAAGGUUACCACAAUUUGGGAGACCAUCUUCUUUGUUAUAGUGUGGACUCUUUGGAAUUCAAGAAACAGUGUCACAUUCAGAAAUUUAGAAUUGAGGUUGGGGGUGAGAAGAUGUAUGAAAAAGCAAGAAAAUGAGAAAGCAUUGGAUUUUCACCGAGGUGGAUUUCAAUUUUCCAUUUUGAUAUCGAGCAAAGUUUAGAUGACAGACAAAAUUUGAUUUUCCGGGUGACAUGCUCAAAGGGGACAUUUGUUUGAUCUCUUUGUGCAGAUCUUGGGAAGGCUUUGAACAGUUGUGCUGAUUUAAUAGCUUUGAGAAGAGAUUCAAUUGUUUUCAACUUUGUGCUUUCCUUGGCUUUGUUGAGAGCUUCAAUCAGUUCGUUUAAGCAAGUCUCUUUUGAAGCAGUCUUUGGUAUCAAGUUCUCUGCAACAUCACAAGGACUCAUAUCGGUUUUCUGUAAUAAACUGUCUCUGUUUUGCAGAUAAUGACAGUUGUAGUUUGUCAUUCAAGAAAGGCUUUUUAAUAUCUUUAUUAUGUGAUAUACUUUGGAAGAUCAAUGUGAUAUAUUUUGUGUAGUAAAAAUCUCAUGAAAUGUGCAAUUAGUUAAAUUCUUUGGUUUAUACCCUGUUUCCAAAAUUGUAGUAUGAACUUUGUAGUGCACAAUAAUAUUUAUUUUACAGCAACUAUAUAUGGUCA